rnacentral:rRNA from 1 species
AUUGAACGCUGGCGGCAGGCCUAACACAUGCAAGUCGAGCGGGCGGCGGACGGGUGAGGCCUGGAUGGGGGCUGCCCGAUAGAGGGGGAUACCUACUGGAAACGGUGGCUAAUCCCGCAUACUGCCGAAUUACCCAUCUGGGGUUAGCUAGUGGGUAAGGUAAUGGCUUAGCUAGGCGACGAUCCCUAGCUGGGCUGAGAGGAUGUUCAGCCACACUGGAACUGAGACACGGCCCAGACUCCUACGGAGGCAGCAGUGGGGAAUAUUGCACAAUGGGCGCAAGCCUGAUGCAGCCAUGCCGCGUGUAUGAAGAAGGCCCUAGGGUUGUAAAGUACUUUCAGUCGGGAGGCGUUACCGACAGAAGAAGCACCGGCUAACUCCGUGCCAGCAGCCGCGGUAAUUC